UUCUGUAUAUAUAUAUAUUUCAAUUUAUUAAGGCAUUAUGUAUUGAAUUACCUUGUAAAGAUAGUGUCUACAGACGAAAAGUCUGUAUUGUAACAUAGAGCUUAUUAUUUCCACAGCUUAUUACAUUUUAAAGAGUAUGUUUUUGUGAAAUUAAGCUAUACUAAAUUCUACAGGUUAGCUGGGUUCCUGACAUAAGGCUGGGAUUUGUUGUGAGACACAGAGAGGACGAAGAGCAAAUUUUACUGUUAUUGUUUCUAGGCUGGUGAAGCUAGAAAUGCAUUUAAGCUCCCAGGUCUGGCCACAACUUGGUCAUGGCAAGUCUUACCAGACACCAGACCCCAUCUUCUCUGCAGUUUUAUCAAUCUGGGGAAAUGACUUAUGGGCUUCCUUCUAAGCUUCCUUACCCUGCAUAGCGUAGACAUGCCUACAAGGUGAGGUUUUGUGAUGCAGCCAAGCCAGUGAUACCCUUUGUGACUUCAGAAUGAGGCAGUCCACCCCUAACUGCCCUCCUACUACAGCUGUUGUGCCAAUACAGAUUCUUGUCUGAUCCCACAAUAUGUCAGUUUAGGGAGUUAAACCAGCAUAAAACUAUUUAUGGUUAACUUGUGUGGUUAUUUUUUCUCCUGGUUAAUGUUCUCAUAUUGAGUUAUCCUUUGAAUCCAUUUCAACCUGCACCCUGCCAAGAAAAAAAUGCAGAGAAAAGCAGUGUAGGAAAGGAGGAGGAGGUGGCCAGUCACAGGUGGGUUUCUGCAGAACAAAGAGAGACUGACAGAAAAAUGUUCAGAGUGAGGUCGCUGUUCCAGGAUGGAAUACACCGAACACUGAUGCUGUGACUGAAGUAUAUGGGAAAUUUAAAUGCUGAUGUUCAUGAAGUUGAAAAAGCUGCUUUGGCAGAAAAGGGUACUGGAUUUGGUCAGCUGAAUCUGUUCUUUUAUCUGACAUAUGUAUAUGACAAGGGAAGGAGGAGGAAGGAGGAAACUGGGAAAAUCAGAAGUGAGACAGCUGGUACUUUUCUAUUUGUCACCACUCAGUGUUCUUCUAUCACCAGAGAGUGUGUAGAGAGUGAUACAUGCAACUAACACCCCACGGGAGGAGAGAACUGCCAAGAGCUGAUGCAAACACAGGAAGCAGCUGCCAGCAGCCUUGUUUUUCUCUCUGUGAAAGAGAGAUACCGUGAGGUAACAGGGAAUAGAA
rnacentral:lncRNA from 1 species